rnacentral:rRNA from 1 species
AGUGAACGCUGGCGGUAGGCCUAACACAUGCAAGUCGAACGGAAGCACAGUAAGAGCUUGCUCUUACGGGUGGCGAGUGGCGGACGGGUGAGGCAUACAUCGGAAACUUCUUUUUCGUGGGGGAUAACGUGGGGAAACUUACGAUACUACAGAAUACGACGUACGGGAGAGAGCAAGAGAUCUUCGGACCUUGCGCGUCAGAAUGAGCUGAAUUCGGGUUAGCUAGUCGGGGGGGUAAGGGCCCACCAAGGCAACGAUCCGUAGCUGAGCUGAUAGGAUGAUCAGCCACACUGGAACUGAGACACGGUCCAGACUCCUACGGGAGGCAGCAGUGGGGAAUAUUGGACAAUGGGCGCAAGCCUGAUCCAGCCAUACCGCGUGAGUGAAGAAGGCCUUCGGGUUGUAAAGCCCUUUUGUUAGGAAAGAAAAUCAGCAUGUUAAUCCCCCGCUGUUCUGACGGUACCCAAAGAAUAAGCACCGGCUAACUUCGUG